CACGUAGGCGGAUUGCUAAGUCAGGGGUGAAAUCCUGGAGCUCAACUCCAGAACUGCCUUUGAUACUGGCGACCUUGAGUCCGGGAGAGGUGAGUGGAACUGCGAGUGUAGAGGUGAAAUUCGUAGAUAUUCGCAAGAACACCAGUGGCGAAGGCGGCUCACUGGCCCGGUACUGACGCUGAGGUGCGAAAGCGUGGGGAGCAAACA
rnacentral:rRNA from 1 species